rnacentral:lncRNA from 1 species
AGUAUCGUCCUAGAGCUGCAGUUCCUCACUCUUCUGCUCAUCCUGUGCCGGGGCUGGCAGCACCUCCGCCCCCUCGCCGGGCCCAGCGGCCCUGUGCAGAGCACUCGGUGGGAGAAGCCCAGGGCUGGCCGUGCCUCCCCCAGGUCCCCUGCACCCAGCGACCCUGUGCAAAACUCUUGGUGUGGGAAGCCCAGGGCUGGCAGUGCCUCCCCCUCACCCAGCGACCCUGUGCAGAGCACUCGGUGGGGGAAGCCCAGGGCUGGCAGCGCCUCCCCCAGCUCCCCUGAACCCAGCGGCCCUGUGCAGAGCACUCGGUGGGGGAAGCCCAGGGCUGGCCACGCCUCCCCCAGGUCCCCUGCACCCAGCGACCCUGUGCAAAACUCUUGGUGUGGGAAGCCCAGGGUUGGCAGUGCCUCCCCCUCACCCAGCGACCCCGUGCAGAGCACUUGGUGUGGGAAUCCCAGGGCUGGCAGCGCCUCCCCCAGCUCCCCUGAACCCAGCGGCCCUGUGCAGAGCACUCGGUGGGGGAAGCCCAGGGCUGGCCACGCCUCCCCCAGGUCCCCUGCACCCAGCGACCCUGUGCAAAACUCUUGGUGUGGGAAGCCCAGGGUUGGCAGUGCCUCCCCCUCACCCAGCGACCCGGUGCAGAGCACUUGGUGUGGGAAUCCCAGGGCUGGCAGCGCCUCCCCCAGCUCCCCUGAACCCAGCGGCCCUGUGCAGAGCACUCGGUGGGGGAAGCCCAGGGCUGGCCACGCCUCCCCCAGGUCCCCUGCACCCAGCGACCCUGUGCAAAACUCUUGGUGUGGGAAGCCCAGGGUUGGCAGUGCCUCCCCCUCACCCAGCGACCCGGUGCAGAGCACUUGGUGUGGGAAUCCCAGGGCUGGCAGCGCCUCCCCCAGCUCCCCUGAACCCAGCGGCCCUGUGCAGAGCACUCGGUGGGGGAAGCCCAGGGCUGGCCACGCCUCCCCCAGGUCCCCUGCACCCAGCGACCCUGUGCAAAACUCUUGGUGUGGGAAGCCCAGGGUUGGCAGUGCCUCCCCCUCACCCAGCGACCCGGUGCAGAGCACUUGGUGUGGGAAUCCCAGGGCUGGCAGCGCCUCCCCCAGCUCCCCUGAACCCAGCGGCCCUGUGCAGAGCACUCGGUGGGGGAAGCCCAGGGCUGGCCACGCCUCCCCCAGGUCCCCUGCACCCAGCGACCCUGUGCAAAACUCUUGGUGUGGGAAGCCCAGGGUUGGCAGUGCCUCCCCCUCACCCAGCGACCCGUGCAGAGCACUUGUUGUGGGAAUCCCAGGGCUGGCAGCGCCUCCCCCAGCUCCCCUGAACCCAGCGGCCCUGUGCAGAGCACUCGGUGGGGGAAGGCCAGGGCUGGCCACGCCUCCCCCAGGUCCCCUGCACCCAGCGACCCUGUGCAAAACUCUUGGUGUGGGAAGCCCAGGGUUGGCAGUGCCUCCCCCUCACCCAGCGACCCUGUGCAGAGCACUCGGUGGGGGAAGCCCAGGGCUGGCAGCGCCUCCCCCAGCUCCCCUGAACCCAGCGGCCCUGUGCAGAGCACUCGGUGGGGGAAGCCCAGGGCUGGCCACGCCUCCCCCAGGUCCCCUGCACCCAGCGACCCUGUGCAAAACUCUUGGUGUGGGAAGCCCAGGGUUGGCAGUGCCUCCCCCUCACCCAGCGACCCCGUGCAGAGCACUUGGUGUGGGAAUCCCAGGGCUGGCAGCGCCUCCCCCAGCUCCCCUGAACCCAGCGGCCCUGUGCAGAGCACUCGGUGGGGGAAGCCCAGGGCUGGCCACGCCUCCCCCAGGUCCCCUGCACCCAGCGACCCUGUGCAAAACUCUUGGUGUGGGAAGCCCAGGGUUGGCAGUGCCUCCCCCUCACCCAGCGACCCCGUGCAGAGCACUUGGUGUGGGAAUCCCAGGGCUGGCAGCGCCUCCCCCAGCUCCCCUGAACCCAGCGGCCCUGUGCAGAGCACUCGGUGGGGGAAGCCCAGGGCUGGCCACGCCUCCCCCAGGUCCCCUGCACCCAGCGACCCUGUGCAAAACUCUUGGUGUGGGAAGCCCAGGGUUGGCAGUGCCUCCCCCUCACCCAGCGACCCGUGCAGAGCACUUGUUGUGGGAAUCCCAGGGCUGGCAGCGCCUCCCCCAGCUCCCCUGA